AAUGACAGCUGCUCCCAACAUUGACGACAGAGCGAUAGCGAGAGAUUACGGAGGAGGCAGACAACACCGAGCGAGGUAAGAGCUAUACAGCUCUUUUUCCGAAGCGACCUGGCCACAAAUGAUAGCUCAACGAAGUGGCUUAUCAUCGUGUGGACAUUUAUAGCAGGAGCUAAAUACGCUAAACGCAUCUUGACUAUAAAUGUGGAGGGGAAAACCGAAGGACUCGGAGAAGAAUCCACGCGACCACGAGAACACGCAAACUUCAAAUAUACCGUAUGUGUCAGUCGGAAUCGAACCCACGACCUCCAGUAUUACAGGCGAGGUGGCUCAGGGGUCAGAGCACGGAGCUGUCACCGCUCAGAUCCUGGGUUCAAAUUCCAGCAGCUGCCCGUGGUAGACCAGUUUCUCAAGUGUGGC